AUUGAACGCUGGCGGCAGGCCUAACACAUGCAAGUCGAGCGGAUGAAGGGAGCUCGCUCCUGGAUUCAGUGGCGGACGGGCGAGUAAGGCCUAGGAAUCUGCCUUGUCUUGGGGGCUAACGUCCGUAAACGGGCGCUAAUCCCGCAUACGUCCUUAGGUAGAACGUGGGGGAUCUUCGGAGCUCACGCUAUUAGCUGUGCCUACGACGGAUUAGCUAGUUGGUUGGGUAAGGGCCUACCAAGGCGACGAUCCGUAACUGAUCUGAGAGGAUGAUCAGUCACACUGGAACUGAGACACGGUCCAGACUCCUACGGGAGGCAGCAGUGGGGAAUAUUGGACAAUGGGCGAAAGCCUGAUCCAGCCAUGCCGCGUGUGUGAAGAAGGUCUUCGGAUUGUAAAGCACUGUAAGUUGGGAGGAAGAGCAGUAAGUGAAUACCUUGCUGUUUUGACGUUACCAACAGAGUAAGCACCGGCUAACUUCGUG
rnacentral:rRNA from 1 species